rnacentral:lncRNA from 1 species
CUUCUCAGCAUUGAGAUGGCUCUCUGCCUAUGGUACCAAAGCAAACACUAGCAUGGUGGCUAGAAAUGCUGCCUUUAGCCAGAAUAUCUGGACUUGAAUCCUAGCUGUGUAGCACUGGACAAGUUAACCUCUCUGAGCCAGUGUCAUCUAUAAAAUGAGGAUUACUGAAGUGCCUACUUUACGGAGUAUUGAGAACUGAAGCUUUACGCAUACUUGUAGAUGUUUGUAUUGAUUUAAUUCUAAUGUUUAAUGGCCUAAGGUUCUCUGGAAACCUCUCAAGUAAUUUGAGAUCUCAGCUGGUUGAUCGGAGCCUUACUAUCUUUUGACUUAAUGUGCACAGUAUAGCUAAACCUGUGAUAUAAUAAAGGUAAGUGAAACAAAUGUAGUAUUCUGUAAUUUAGAGAUAAGGGAAAAUUAGUUGUUUCUAUCAGGAUAAGUUUCAGGGAACCAAAUAUUUGUACUUAAAGAGAUAGUCCUUAAGAUCAGCCAAAUACCAAGGUAUCAGGAAAGUCCAUCCAGUCCCCAUUCUCAUUCCACAAGGUCGUUUCAGCCCAAAGGACCUCUGGCUUGCAGCUGGGCUGCUUCUGUGCCAUGUUCAGAGUGCAGAGAUCUUUAAAAGGCUGACUUGGGUCCUGUUUGCUCCAAGGUACCAGGCAGGGUCUUGCUGCCCACCAGCCACUUACAGGUGCAUCUCAGUCUUCCCCUCUCCAACCAGGAGAAAUGGCUUUCUAGCUUAGGGGCAUGGCCUACUGAUCCCAUUUAAGGCAUCUAGUCCCUUCCUGAGACUCUUGUUGCUAGAGCAUCUAGCCACACAACAAUGUUGCGGUCACCAGUGAACCUCAUAUCUGACUGUGGUCUCAUAAGAUAUAAUACCAAAAAUUUACUGUACCUUUUCUAUGUUUAAAUAUGUUUACUUUUUACUUUUAUUAUUUUUUUGAGAGAGAUGCCUGACAUUCUUAUUCACUCAGGCCUGCAGCUGCAACCUGUUGACUCCUGUUUUACUCUUUGUUGAACACAGAAAUGUGUUCAUUUUUGCCCUCCAGGGCAGCAAAUAAUAUCUUGGAAUGUGGCAAUAAAGAUUAGCCCCUAUAUAUUAAGUUUUACUGUGGCCUCCACAGUGAUGAUGGAUACCAUGAACAAUAUAACAAAAUGUAAGGCAUGCUCACUCCCUUCAGAGAGCUUAUAAUUUGGAGAAACAGGCCACAACACUUAAAAGCCAAGAUAAUACAUGAGAGAAAUAAGUCAGUCAAAAA